GCGGAAGUGGCUCAGCUGGUAGAGCAUCUCCUUGCCAAGGAGAGGGUCGCGAGUUCGAAUCUCGUCUUCCGCUCCU
rnacentral:tRNA from 1 species